AAAAGUCAAUGCCAUGCUGGAAUGAUGCAUGCGCUUAAGAAUAAAUUUUAUAGCAAAUCCGUUUAAAACCGGUCACUCAUUGAUACUAAAAUUUUAUGUGUUCACCCCAUUCUAGUAAACAAUAUAUGCUAUAAAUGAAAUCCACUACUAGAUUUGAAAAUUAACUAUAUAUAAACAAUUUAAAAGACCCCGCUAAUCAUCAAACAGUCGGUAUUUGUUCCAAAUAUAAUACCUAGUGUGGACAAUGUGUUACAUUUUUUCAUACACAUUUUCAAUUUAUUACUUACUGUUUUAUGCCUCAAAUAGAAAGGAGGGAGAUGAUAUUACACUGUAAAAAAAAUACUGUAUGGAUUAAGUUAAGUAGUGAUUGGUCCAGGUGAAAAUGUAAAUAUUUAGUAUUUCUUAAUCUGUCAAACUGAAUUCAUUCUUAACUUGAAAUUGUCCAUAUUUUUAGUAAGAGCUAUUAAAAUAGGAUUUGUCCCAAAAUUCACUGCAAAAUUAUAUAAACGUGUUCUCGGUUCAUAUCAAUA
rnacentral:lncRNA from 1 species